UACGUAGGGUGCGAGCGUUGUCCGGAAUUAUUGGGCGUAAAGAGCUCGUAGGCGGUCUGUCGCGUCGAUCGUGAAAACUUGGGGCUUAACCCUGAGCUUGCGGUCGAUACGGGCAUGACUGGAGUUCGGCAGGGGAGACUGGAAUUCCUGGUGUAGCGGUGAAAUGCCCAGAUAUCAGGAGGAACACCGGUGGCGAAGGCGGGUCUCUGGGCCGAUACUGACGCUGAGGAGCGAAAGCGUGGGGAGCGAACAGG
rnacentral:rRNA from 1 species